GGGUUGUGAGGUUAAGCGACUAAGCGUACACGGUGGAUGCCCUGGCAGUCAGAGGCGAUGAAGGGCGUGCUAAUCUGCGAUAAGCGCCGGUAAGGUGAUAUGAACCGUUAUAACCGGCGAUACCCGAAUGGGGAAACCCAGUGUGACUCGUCACACUAUCAUUAACUGAAUCCAUAGGUUAAUGAGGCGAACCGGGGGAACUGAAACAUCUAAGUACCCCGAGGAAAAGAAAUCAACCGAGAUUCCCCCAGUAGCGGCGAGCGAACGGGGAGGAGCCCAGAGCCUGAAUCAGCAUGUGUGUUAGUGGAAGCGUCUGGAAAGGCGCGCGAUACAGGGUGACAGCCCCGUACACAAAAGCGCAUGUGCUGUGAGCUCGAUGAGUAGGGCGGGACACGUGGUAUCCUGUCUGAAUAUGGGGGGACCAUCCUCCAAGGCUAAAUACUCCUGACUGACCGAUAGUGAACCAGUACCGUGAGGGAAAGGCGAAAAGAACCCCGGCGAGGGGAGUGAAAAAGAACCUGAAACCGUGUACGUACAAGCAGUGGGAGCCCCACCACUAAGCCAGUGGUGAACUCACAUACGCAUCCUUUGCUGAAGGUGCGGUUAACGGAGCGCAAGCGACGUUCAACCUCAAAAGAAGCAGAGGGGGCUUAGUGGUGGGGUGACUGCGUACCUUUUGUAUAAUGGGUCAGCGACUUAUAUUCUGUAGCAAGGUUAACCGAAUAGGGGAGCCGGAGGGAAACCGAGUCUUAAUUGGGCGUUAAGUUGCAGGGUAUAGACCCGAAACCCGGUGAUCUAGCCAUGGGCAGGUUGAAGGUUGGGUAACACUAACUGGAGGACCGAACCGACUAAUGUUGAAAAAUUAGCGGAUGACCUGUGGCUGGGGGUGAAAGGCCAAUCAAACCGGGAGAUAGCUGGUUCUCCCCGAAAGCUAUUUAGGUAGCGCCUCGUGAAUUCAUCUCCGGGGGUAGAGCACUGUUUCGGCUAG
rnacentral:rRNA from 1 species